rnacentral:rRNA from 1 species
UUGAGCUAACCAGUACUAAUGAUCCGUGAGACUUAACCUUACAACACCGAAGGUGUU